rnacentral:rRNA from 1 species
CAGAGGCCUCGAGCGUUAGGCGGAAUCACUGGGCUUAAAGCGUGUGUAGGCGGAUUGGUAAGUACCUUGUGAAAUCCCACAGCUUAACUGUGGAACUGCUCGGUAUACUGCUGAUCUUGAGCCACUCAGGGGCUACCGGAACAAAUGGUGGAGCGGUGAAAUGCGUAGAUAUCAUUUGGAACGCCAAUGGUGAAAACAGGUAGCUGGGGGUGUGCUGACGCUGAGACACGAAAGCCAGGGGAGCAAACGGGAUUAGAUACCCCGGUAGUCCUGGCCGUAAACGAUGUCGACUAGAUCGUGGCGCCUCUGACGGUGUCACGGUCGUAGCAAAAGUGCUAAGUCGACCGCCUGGGAAGUACGGUCGCAAGGCUAA